UCCUUCUAAAGGACUUAGUUUUCUAAGGGGAGUUUUGGUUAAAAUCCAAAGCAAACCAAGCAGAGAACUACCCUUUUAUUGUUCUAUCUGUCCACAAACAGAUUCUGCUUCUGCGGUAUCCACCUCAGAAUAGCUUAAAAUGUUCUUAAUUAUGUCCCUUAGUUCUGUUAAAACAAUCACAAAGCUUACCUGUAUGUGUUAAUCAUAAUAUACAGGAAAAGAAAGAGGAAAGAUCUUAAAAUCUGGAGGCCACUAAUGUGACUUUAACAUUAAUUAAUUUUCUUUUUCUGAUCUCACUAUAAUAAACUGGCUAGAUACUAGGGAGAAUGAAUCACAAAGUGGCAGAAAUUUAUCCGUUUGAUUUCUGGCCCCCUACAUUUCCCUAGCCAGGUCUGUCUCACAGUGUCACCCUGAAACUUCUCUACCUUGUUCUGUUGGAUCCACUAUUUACUGGAUCAGAGUCUUGUGUAGAUUACUCCCUCAAUUCUAUAGCGUUUUCUUUCUAUACAAACUUUAUCACACUACGCUCCCUCCAUCUAAAUCUGGCCCUACCUACCCCUAGUGUAAGUUCAUGAGGACAGAAGCAUGUUCAUCACCUUUCUCACUGCUGUAUUUGAGAAACUUAUAGACUUUGAGUGCAUCUUAAAGAUCACAACCUCUAUGACUGUCUCCCAUCUCCCUGAACCAGGUCUAGAAGCAUAAUUGGAGGAAAUUUUACAGGACCAUGGGCAGAAUCAACUAAGAUGCUAAUCUUGAUAAGAGAAAAGAUUUCUGAUCAAGAGACCAAAUUACUUAAAAUGAGACAUCUAGUGGAUUAAAUACCAUUAUUUUACUCUCCUGCUUCUUUUGAGCAACUGCUGGGGCUGCUUAUUGGGUAAAUCUAAAUGGAAGCCAGAGAGUGUUAAAGCUGGUUGAUGUAGUCUGUACAAGUCAGGCUCUGAAAGCAGAGAGUAAGAAGGAGAUAGGUGGAUAGUAGAGUGGAUGAAGAAAUGAAGGCUACCUAGUGUAGAUGGUGUGUGUGUGUUCACAUAUACUUAACUAAAGUAUAUGUACACAGAGACACACAUAUACUUAAUUAAAAUCCACUCCUUGCCAGUCAUUAGAGCAAACUUCACUCCUUGCCUGCAAUAAAGGAAUUUUCUAUUAUCAGUGGAGCUGACCUGAGUGGAAGGGUUUCUUUUGUAUUAUUAAUACUUUAGAUUCAUUAUAGCAAUUAGUUAUAGCUGUAAAUCAGCCAAGUAGAAAAACAGAAAACUAAGCUAAUUUACUCCUAGAAGCUGGUAAGUAAUUGCAUCAGAUGAGAUCACAGAACAAAAAUCCCAGUGGCUUUCCAGGAUACAAUUUCUGUAAUGACACAAUUAGCACUGGCAGUCAUAGGGGUUGAGGUACUGGGUCAAAUAAUCAGAAAUACAAAAUUCCUCUAGUCCUUCAGUCAUGGAUGAUUUUCAGAGAAACCUGCACCUUUUUCAUAGACUGGAUCCAUUUCUCUUCCACCUGUUAACUUCAGGGAUCUUUAGUGGGCCUCACUGUAUACUGAGCAACUGAAUACUAAUCAUGAGAAUUAGUCCAGCUAAUUUAUAAUGCAUAUGCUUCCAAGGGAAUUUGUAAUUCCCAAGUCUAGGAGAAAUGUGUCCCUUUCUAGAUAUCAUAUAGAUACAGCUGCAGGUUUGCAUUAGAGAAGGUAUUUCAAUGUUUUUCCUAAAGGAGACUAAGUUUCAAAAUCGCAUAGACUGAAUUUGACUUCACUGUAACUGGAACUUUUAACAUUUUAGAGCUUUGAAAAUUGUCAUGAACAGAUAUGCAAAUAACUUGCCAAAUGAAUUAUGUAAGAAAUGAAAUAGCUGACAUUCCUCCUCUGUUUGAGGGUGUCAGAGACAACUUGGAAGCUUGUUUUUUUGAAGUAGUUGUAAUACGUAGGGUAUCAGCAUCCCUGAAAACAUGCCCUAGGCUGCUCUUGGAGGGAGACCACGAAAGGGAAAAAAACUCUUCAGCUCUGCCUCCCAGCCCAGACCCCCAGCUCCCAAGUAAU
rnacentral:lncRNA from 10 species